UUAUUUUAUUUAUUCACCUUUAUUUAUACAGGUAAGUCAAUUAAGAACAAAUUCUUAUUUACAAUGACGACCUGUCUUACAGGUGGCCAAAAAUAAUUAUCUGAAAGCCACGCCCCUAAUAGGACGUGUGUGUGUGUGUUCUGUCCAAUAUUUACCCAGCGUUGGGUUACCAAAUAACCCAAAUUGGGUUGUUUUUAACCCAGUCUAGUUGGACCAAGAACAUGUAUUCAGAAUAGCUUCUGAAGUUUUGAAAUAGUAUUUUAAAGGUCUCGAACAGUCAUUCUGAUUCCUAUGUAAAAUAGAAUUUUGAGUGACUAAAACAUCACCCAUAAUAUUUUUUUUUCAGAUAAAAAUGCUCGGAAUUUGAGAAAAAAAACCUUUUCUCUCAUGUCAAACUACCAGGGAGUCUGAAAAGAAAGACUGAGCAGCCGAUGAGCUAAUUGGCUGGUUGGGUGAGGAGCUAAUAGGCUGGGUGGGCGAGGAGCUAAUAGGCUGGGUGGGUGAGGAGCUAAUAGACUGGGUGGGCGAGGAGCUAAUAGACUGGGUGGGCGAGGAGCUAAUAGGCUGGGUGAGCGAGGAGCUAAUAGGCUGGGUGGGCGAGGAGCUAAAAGGCUGGGUGGGCGGGGAGUUAAAAGGCUGGCUGGGUGGGGAGCUAAUAGGCUGGGUGGGCGAGGAGCUAAUAGGCUGGGUGGGCGAGGAGCUAAUAGACUGGAUGGACGAGGAGCUAAUAGACUGGGUGGGCGAGGAGCUAAUAGACUGGGUGGGCGAGGCACUAAUAGGCUGGGUGGGCGAGGAGCUAAUAGACUGGGUGGGCGAGGAGCUAAUAGGCUGGGUGGGCGAGGAGCUAAUAGACUGGGUGGGCGAGGAGCUAAUAGGCUGGGUGAGCGAGGAGCUAAUAGGCUGGGUGGGCGAGGAGCUAAUAGGCUGGGUGAGCGAGGAGCUAAUAGGCUGGGUGGGCGAGGAGCUAAAAGGCUGGGUGGGCGGGGAGUUAAAAGGCUGGCUGGGUGGGGAGCUAAUAGGCUGGGUGGGCGAGGAGCUAAUAGGCUGGGUGGGCGAGGAGCUAAUAGACUGGGUGAGCGAGGAGCUAAUAGGCUGGGUGGGCGAGGAGCUAAAAGGCUGGGUGGGCGGGGAGUUAAAAGGCUGGCUGGGUGGGGAGCUAAUAGGCUGGGUGGGCGAGGAGCUAAUAGGCUGGGUGGGCGAGGAGCUAAUAGACUGGAUGGACGAGGAGCUAAUAGACUGGGUGGGCGAGGAGCUAAUAGACUGGGUGGGCGAGGCACUAAUAGGCUGGGUGGGCGAGGAGCUAAUAGACUAGGUGGGCGAGGAGCUAAUAGACUGGGUGGGCGAGGAGCUAAUAGGCUGGGUGGGCGAGGAGCUAAUAGACUGGGUGGGCGAGGAGCUAAUAGGCUGGGUGAGCGAGGAGCUAAUAGGCUGGGUGGGCGAGGAGCUAAAAGGCUGGGUGGGCGGGGAGUUAAAAGGCUGGCUGGGUGGGGAGCUAAUAGGCUGGGUGGGCGGGGAGCUAAUAAGCUGGGUGGGCGAGGAGCUAAUAGGCUGGGUGGGCGGGGAGCUAAUAGGCUGGGUUGGCGGGGAGCUAAUAGGCUGGGUAUGCGAGGAGCUAAUAGACUGGGUGGGCGGGGGCUAAUAGGCUGGGUUGGCGGGGAGCUAAUAGGCUGGGUAUGCGAGGAGCUAAUAGGCUGGGUAUGCGAGGAGCUAAUAGACUGGGUGGGCGGGGGGCUAAUAGACUGGGUGGGCGGGGAGCUCACUUUGACUGACGGUUAUUUGAAAACACCUAUGUCAAGCAUCAUGGACGCAGUGAAAUUAUUUUAAGCUAAUUUGCUGAUUCACAAAGCAAACAACAUUGAAAUUGCAUGCAACAUCCAACAUACAUCACAUCAUGGUUUCACUUUUUUGUUGAUCCAGCUACUUGGUUAUUGUAACAGCAUCAAUAUAGACAAUCAUUUGUCAUAGCUUGCCCAAAUGGAAUUGUCAGCACUGCUUUAUCAAGCUAGCUAUCGAGUUAAUCUUGGACAAUUACAGUUGACACUGGACAGGGUGCGGUCUGGGUAUACUUCAUUAAAAAAAAUAUAGACUGCCAGACAAUGUUCAUAAACCAUGACUAUCAAGGAUGUCAAGAGUUUUGCAUGUCUCUUCAUGUGACAAAUGCAUCAGGGUUUUGAGUGACCCUUCCCCGUUUGUUCCAUCCUGGCUGAAGACCUACAGUGGGGCAAAAAAGUAUUUAGUCAGCCACCAAUUGUGCAAGUUCUCCCACUUAAAAAGAUGAGAGAGGCCUGUAAUUUUCAUCAUAGGUACACUUCAACUAUGACAGACAAAAUGAGAAAUGAAACAUCCAGAAAAUCACAUUGUAGGAUUUUUAAUGAAUUUAUUUGCAUAUUAUGGUGGAAAAUAAGUAUUAGGUCAAUAACCAAAGUUUAUCUCAAUACCCUGUUAUAUACCCUUUUUUUGGUAAUGACAGAGGUCAAACGUUUUCUGUAAGUCUUCACAAGGUUUUCACACACUGUUGCUGGUAUUUUGGCCCAUUCCUCCAUGCAGAUCUCCUCUAGAGCAGUGAUGUUUUGGGGCUGUUGCUGGGCAACACGGACUUUCAACUCCCUCCAAAGAUUUUCUAUGGGGUUGAGAUCUGGAGACUGGCUAGGCCACUCCAGGACCUUGAAAUGCUUCUUACAAAGCCACUCCUUCGUUGCCCAGGCGGUGUGUUUGGGAUCAUUGUCAUGCUGAAAGACCCAGCCACGUUUCAUCUUCAAUGCCCUUGCUGAUGGAAGGAGGUUUUCACUAAAAAUCUCACGAUACAUGGCCCCAUUCAUUCUUUCCUUUACACGGAUCAGUCGUCCUGGUCCCUUUGCAGAAAAACAGCCCCAAAGCAUGAUAUUUCCACCCCCAUCCUUCACAGUAGGUAUGGUGUUCUUUGGAUAAAACUCAGCAUUCUUUGUCCAUCUGACCAUAUGACAUUCUCCCAAUCUUCUUCUGGAUCAUCCAAAUGCUCUCUAGCAAAUUUCAGACGGGCCUGGACAUGUACUGGCUUAAGCAGGGGGACACGUCUGGAACUGCAGGAUUUGAGUCCCUGGCGGCGUAGUGUGUUACUGAUGGUAGGCUUUGUUACUUUGGUCCCAGCUCUCUGCAGGUCAUUCACUAGGUCCCCCCAUGUGGUUCUGGGAUUUUUGCUCACCGUUCUUGUGAUCAUUUUGACCCCACGGGGUGAGAUCUUACGUGGAGCCCCAGAUCGAGGGAGAUUAUCAGUGGUCUUGUAUGUCUUCCAUUUCCUAAUAAUUGCUCCCACAGUUGAUUUCUUCAAACCAAGCUGCUUACCUAUUGCAGAUUCAGUCUUCCCAGCCUGGUGCAGGUCUACAAUUUUGUUUCUGGUGUCCUUUGACAGCUCAUUGGUCUUGGCCAUAGUGGAGUUUGGAGUGUGACUGUUUGAGGUUGUGGACAGGUGUCUUUUAUACUGA
ensembl:lncRNA